rnacentral:tRNA from 1 species
GGGGACGUAGCGCAGGUGGUAGCGCUGCUUUCGCAAUGCAGAGGUCAGGGGUUCGACUCCCCUCGUCUCCA